GAUCCUGGCUCAGAUUGAACGCUGGCAGCAGGCUUAACACAUGCAAGUCGAACGGUAACAUAAGGAAGCUUGCUUCUUUGAUGACGAGUGGCGGACGGGUGAGUAAUGCUUGGGAAUCUAGCUUAUGGAGGGGGAUAACUACGGGAAACUGUAGCUAAUACCGCGUAGAAUCGAGAGAUGAAAGUGUGGGACCUUCGGGCCACAUGCCAUAGGAUGAGCCCAAGUGGGAUUAGGUAGUUGG
rnacentral:rRNA from 1 species